AAGGCAGAGGAGGAAGAAUGAG
rnacentral:miRNA from 1 species